CAAAGUCUAAAGGGAAGCUGGAACCAGGACCAAUUGCAGUAACUGAUUGUAUACACUGACAGAACCUGGAAGCCGCUCUUGCCACCAAAGGUAAGCGAGCAACUUUGCAUAAAUCAGUCUUUCCUAUUGAGCCAAGACCAUUUCAAGAAAAAGUCUGGAGGAGUGACCUCCGCACGCCUUGGAAAGGGGAGUCAGUAAGACAGUGCGACGCUGACCACAAAGCAGAAUCCAAGGAGCCAUACUUGAAAGUGAAUCAUGAAUUUUUAUUCCACAGCUAAAAAGGAAGUCAGGCCCUGGGGUGUGGCUUGCAGUGGUGCAGAUGUGACCCAAGAGCUCAGAGCUGGAACAGGAAGAAGAUGGUGAGCACCAGAUGGGAACCUGCAUGUCUUAGCAGAUGGGUGGCCUGAUAGCAGGAUCUUGGCUUAUGAAACCUCCCUUUAAAAAAGAGGUCCUCAUCACAUGAAUGUGUGACAGUUGUAAGCACUCUUUGGGAAAUAAUGGAUGAUGAUUGGGUAAGUUGAUUUAGGUAAGUUAAUACAGUAGAACCUGGAAUGCUUGGCAUGAGAUUUUGACUUGAUACAUUUGGCAGCUAGGAACGAUUGCAGUUUUUCGGGAAGGGGAUUGACAAGGCAAAAAGAUGCUUAACAUUGGAAGAAUGCAAAAAGUAUUAGGAGGACCAAAACGACAUUUAGGCUUCUAAGGUUAAGGACUGGGUCUUACUCAUUUUGAAGCCCCUGGCGCCUACUCGCAC